UACGUAGGUGGCAAGCGUUGUCCGGAAUUACUGGGCGUAAAGAGCGCGCAGGCGGCUGGUCAAGUCCGAUGUGAAAGCUCCCGGCUUAACUGGGAAAUUGCAUCGGAAACUGAUCGGCUUGAAGGUGGGAGAGGGUAGUGGAAUUCCCGGUGUAGUGGUGAAAUGCGUAGAUAUCAGGAAGAACACCGGUGGCGAAGGCGGCUCUCUGGGCCUUACCUGACGCUGAGGCACGAAAGCGUGGGGAGCAAACAGG
rnacentral:rRNA from 1 species